UAGCGGCGGACGGGUGAGUAACACGUGGGCAACCUGCCUGUAAGACUGGGAUAACUUCGGGAAACCGGAGCUAAUACCGGAUAAUCCUUUCCUACUCAUGUAGGAAAGCUGAAAGACGGUUUACGCUGUCACUUACAGAUGGGCCCGCGGCGCAUUAGCUAGUUGGUGAGGUAACGGCUCACCAAGGCGACGAUGCGUAGCCGACCUGAGAGGGUGAUCGGCCACACUGGGACUGAGACACGGCCCAGACUCCUACGGGAGGCAGCAGUAGGGAAUCUUCCGCAAUGGACGAAAGUCUGACGGAGCAACGCCGCGUGAGUGAUGAAGGUUUUCGGAUCGUAAAACUCUGUUGUUAGGGAAGAACAAGUACGAGAGUAACUGCUCGUACCUUGACGGUACCUAACCAGAAAGCCACGGCUAACUACGUGCCAGCAGCCGCGGUAAUACGUAGGUGGCAAGCGUUGUCCGGAAUUAUUGGGCGUAAAGCGCGCGCAGGCGGUCCUUUAAGUCUGAUGUGAAAGCCCACGGCUCAACCGUGGAGGGUCAUUGGAAACUGGGGGACUUGAGUGCAGAAGAGAAGAGUGGAAUUCCACGUGUAGCGGUGAAAUGCGUAGAGAUGUGGAGGAACACCAGUGGCGAAGGCGACUCUUUGGUCUGUAACUGACGCUGAGGCGCGAAAGCGUGGGG
rnacentral:rRNA from 2 species